UACGUAGGGGGCAAGCGUUAUCCGGAUUUACUGGGUGUAAAGGGAGCGUAGACGGCGGGGCAAGUCUGGAGUGAAAGGCCGGGGCCCAACCCCGGGACCGCUCUGGAAACUGCCCGGCUGGAGUGCGGGAGAGGUAAGCGGAAUUCCUAGUGUAGCGGUGAAAUGCGUAGAUAUUAGGAGGAACACCAGCGGCGAAGGCGAUUCACUGGACUGUAACUGACACUGAGGCACGAAAGCGUGGGGAGCAAACAGG
rnacentral:rRNA from 1 species